UUUUGAUUUUCAGCCAAUCAGAGAGCAGCACUACUGAAAUAGAACUCCCAGGAGUGAGGGGCCGGUGCUGGACACUGUGUAGGGACGCGGGAAUGCAAAGUCAUACACAUGACUGUGACUGAUGCACUAUCUCCAGGACAUGGAGUAGCAUUUCCGGACCUACAGCAAGACGUUGGAUGAAGGCACAGGCCUAGGAAUCAUGCACAUACACAGAAACAUUUGCCCAAAUUAUAGAGGUAACCUCCUUUAGUUUGCCCAGAGGAAGGGCCAUACAGUAGCCAUGGAUUCCCUACAGGUUUCCUCCCCUCUGGAGGUUUUUCCUGUCCUGAGUAUUAGUUACUGUACGCUCUUUGUGAGUGAUGGGAGGUUACAAAAAAUCCCCUACACAAACAUUUUAAUAAAUAAUAAAUAAAGUUCCCCUUUUUUUAAACUGUUC